rnacentral:rRNA from 1 species
UGGGGAAUAUUGGACAAUGGGCGAAAGCCUGAUCCAGCCAUGCCGCGUGUGUGAAGAAGGUCUUCGGAUUGUAAAGCACUUUAAGUUGGGAGGAAGGGCAGUAAGUUAAUACCUUGCUGUUUUGACGUUACCGACAGAAUAAGCACCGGCUAACUCUGUGCCAGCAGCCGCGGUAAUACAGAGGGUGCAAGCGUUAAUCGGAAUUACUGGGCGUAAAGCGCGCGUAGGUGGUUUGUUAAGUUGGAUGUGAAAGCCCCGGGCUCAACCUGGGAACUACAUCCAAAACUGGCAAGCUAGAGUACGGUAGAGGGUGGUGGAAUUUCCUGUGUAGCGGUGAAAUGCGUAGAUAUAGGAAGGAACACCAGUGGCGAAGGCGACCACCUGGACUGAUACUGACACUGAGGUGCGAAAGCGUGGGGAGCAAACA